CUUAAUACUUUGUUAUAUAUACAUAUAUAUAUAGAUAAAUAUAUAUGAUAUUUUAUAUAACUUAACCUAAUAAAUAAGAUAUAACUUUUAUCAUAUAUAACUUUAUAAUAACUUAUAUAGGUUAUAUGAUACUUAUUUAACAUCUUAUCUCAUCUAAUUAAAUAACACUUGAUGUAUAACCGGUCAUUAUAUACGACUUAUGUAAAAAUAAACAUAAUUAUAAGGUCAUUUAAAUAUAAAAUAAGCCAUAUAACAAACACCAAGAAAUUAAUUAUGUCUAUGAUAAUAAACACCAAGAAAUUAAUUAUGUCUAUGAUAAUAAUAUAGAGAGAAAAAUAAAUGUUACCAUUUAUGUAAUGACAUAUAUUUAUGUAAUGACAUAUAUGUAUGUAUGUAUAGACAUAAGACUUAAAGAAGAUGAACAUAUGAAUGAUAUAAAUAUACUUAAUUAAGGAAAAAGGAUAAGAAGAAUAAAUAAGUAUAUGAAAUAAUAGAGGUAAAUAAAAUAUAUAGAAGUAAAGUCAAGUCAAGGGUAAAAUUAAAUAGAAGGUGAUAUAUUGAAAAUUGGUAUAUGUAAAUAAUGUUAAUUUAAGGAUUAUUAGACUAAUUAAAAAAAGAAAAGAUAAAAAGACGUAAGGUCAAUCUGAAACAUGAAAAUGUAAAGGAAAAGCAAGUGGAAUGAAACAUCUGAGUAACUUGUAAAAAAACCAACAGGGAGAAUAUAAGUAACGGUGAGUGAAAGUAUAAAAAGGAUCAAAAAUUAAUACUAAGAAGUAUGAAUAAAGUAGAAACCAACUACUAAGAUAAGAAAGAAAAAAUUAAGAGUAAAGUACCGAAAGGGAAAAAUAAGAAAUAGAUUAACAGAGAGUAGUUAUAGUAUAACGUACCUUUUGUAUAAGUGCGACAAGAAGCACUUGUGAUUAAUGUGGUGAAAUUCCACCAAACCUUUCCAUUGGUUUGACCCUAUCCACACAUGCUGAAGGAGUAAUCGUCAGUGUGAAGCUGUGGAAACAAUGUAACAAAUUAUCCCAUUUUUAAUAAUCGGAGUGCUAGGGUGAAAAAUUCUAAGAUGAACGAAAGUGAACAUGCCUUGAGGCUUCGGUAUCAUAAUUAUAUUAUUAUGAUAAUAGUUAAGACAGAUCCUUCUUAUACUGGGAUUCUGGAAUGGAACAUAUUUAACACGGAGUAAAGCAUGCAUCUAAGGAAUUUAAGUUUUAUCCUUUCUAUUAAAUGUGGAGAGGAUAGAAAUUCGGAAUAUAAUAUUCUGGAUAUAAUGUAAUCACAAAUGAACUUGGUAAGCCCUAAGUUUUCAUAAAUUUAAAUUUAAGAGGUAACUUAUAAGGAGUAAUCCGAAAUGGUUAUAACGAGCUCAGGGUAGAAGAACGAUUCAGAAAGCGAAUGCAGAUUAGUAAUAGAUCUUCCCCCAGCUAUAGCGGGGGAUAUUUCUUUUUACCUUAUAUAAGGUUGAUAAGGGAAUAGAUAGAGUCAUAUGACUUAAUCCGAGAGGAUGCAGACUUGAAUCAUUGUGGUCAACGUAAUUAUAAAUAUCUUGGUAUAAUAACUAUGAAAAUAAAGUAGUAUAAUAUUAUACAGAACUUAACUUAAGUUAAGCUUAUCAAAAAAUUGUCUAAAACAUAUGGCAUACUAAAUUUAAAAUAACAAAUAUAGAGUUUGUACAUUUAACACUUAUAUGAUUUUAAAACCUUGAAUAAGUUCAAGAAGUAUAAAAAAUCAGAUGUGAAUGACUGGUUAUACCAAUUUACAAGUAACUAGUAGAAGGUAUAAGAGUAUAGCGACGAAAUCAAUAAAUUGAGAGAAAGCAGAAGCUAAAGUAAAAGAUCUUCAAGAGAUAAUAAUAAAAUAAUUAUUGCUACAUUAAAUAAUAAUAUAAAAGAAGUGUAUAGAUUACAAUGAAUAUAUAAGAAAAAUAGAUAAAGGUGUAUAGUUUGAGAUAAGGAUUAGAAAACCGAAUAAUUAUAAGAAAUUAUAAAAGUAAUAAUUCAAGACAAAGUAAAAUAAAUCAUAACUUUUUAUGUAUUAUAUCUAUCAAUGACUUAAAUCAGGUAAGAAUUACAAACUUAAAUCAUUAAUUUAUUAAAAUUUAUUAAAGAUGAUAUGAAAUUUUAUAUUAUUAUUUAUUGGCUAAGAUAGUGAGGAACGAAAUCACUUUCGAGCGUGAUUGCAUGAGCCGUAUGCGGUGAAAGUCGCACGUACGGUUCUAAGGGGGGGAAAAACCGAGAGGUUCUACCUAUCCCAAUUGGGCCAGUGAGUUAUUAUAUUUAGUGAAAUAAAAAGAAUUAAAUUGAAAAAGUAUGAAAAUUAAAUAUAAUAAGCCCGAAAGCAGACGAUCUAUUCAUCUACAAGUGUUGAUUAAAAUAUAUUAAUCAAUGACUGAAUAAGUGGUUGUAGCAAUAACCUUUAAAGAUAGGUGAAUUGAAGUGAAAGACAAAUCUGGUUUGCCGAUAGCUGGUUUUCUGCGAAAUAUAUAUUAGUAUAGCCUUUAUAAAUGUUAAAACUGGUACAGCACUUAAAUACAUUUGGGGGAUUUAAUGAAUUCUAUCAAAGUAUUUUAAUCUCGGAAUCAGUUUAAAAAAACAAAAAUAAGGAGUCAGACUUAUUGCGAUAAGGUAGUAAGUCGAAAGGGAAACAACCCAGACUAUUAAGUGAAAGUCCCAAAUAAUAACUAAGUGAACAUAAUCUAUUAGAUUAAGAUUAAAGACAAUUAGUAUGUGGGUUUGACAAUAACCAUCAUUUAAUGAACAUGUAACAAUGCACUAAUUUGAUAUAUAUAUAAAAAAUAUGUACUUAAAAUAGAGUUAAUUCACGGGUCUAAGUAUAAAACUGAACUAUAGAUAUAAAUGAAAAUAUGGUAGCGGAAUAUAGAAUGAAAAUAAAUUCUAGAGAUAUUGCUGGCUUGAGUAACGAUAGAUAAUAAAAAAUUAUCCUCCAAAAAUCAUAAGGUUUUACAAUAAACGAACGGUCCCUAAGAUAAAAAUAGAAAUAUAAAAAUUGAUGGGUGAAAAGACAAGUAAAAGUAAAAUAAACCGUACUGUAGACCGACACAGGUAUGAUAAAAGGAGAAUGGGAUAACUACUUUGAAUGAACUCGGCAAAAUACGAAAAAAGUAAGAAGCGUGCGACUGUUUACCAAAAACACAGCCUAUUGCAUAUUAGAAAUAAUAAGUAUAAUAGGUGGAAUCUGCCCAGUGCUUCUUAAAUAAAAAUAUAUAUUGUAAAAGAUAAAUAAUUAAUGAGAAGUAAACGGCGGUCUUAUCGUGAGGAUCCUAAGGUAGCGGUGCGACAAGAAGCUUGUAUUAAGAAUGUGGUGAAAACCCACAAUUAUCGGUUAUAUAUAAUUAACCUAUUCCAACAUGCAUAAUAAGUGAUUAUUUUGUAUGAAGCUUGGAAGACAAAGACUAUAAACUCAAGUUGAUAUGAGUGACGAAUCAGGUUAGAACGACAUGAUUAGUAUAUCGAAGUAUGUGUAUAAAGUUUCGUAAAAGGAAAAUAACGUGAUCAAUAUCGUUAUUAUUAUGGUAAGGAAAAUAUUGACGCUACGAAUAUUUUUAUAUAACUGAAAUAAAAUAAAGAUAACCAUCGGAACAUAGCAACAAUCUAAAUCGUUCAUAAAGGUCUUAAUACGAGAACUUGGUAAGCCUUAUACACACCAAAUCAAAUUAGAUAUAGGAAGUAACAUAUAAAAUUAAUGUAACAGUUAAUGGAAGUUGUUAUAUAGUGUAGAAGGUAGAGGAUAAAUAUAAAAAGCUAAAGAUCUUAUGUAAUGUAGGGUAUAGAGUCUUAUGACUUAUCUUGAAAAAGAGCUGACUUAUAUAUAAGGUUUGUAAUAUCUUAAUUGGUGAGUUAUGAAUAUAUUGUUAUAAAUAUAUUGUUAUAAAUAUAUUGUUAUAAAUAUGAAGACAAGAUUUAAACAUAAACAUAAACAAUCACAAUUAAAGAUGAGAAGAAUAAAUAAUGACCAGGAUUUUAUAAGUAGAGCUAUAUAUGAUAUCUAUAAGAAUUAUCAUAUAUGAUAAUGAAAUAAUCAUAGCCUAAGUUUAAAUAUGUAUAAUAUAUCCCCCUACUAUUUAUGGAGGGUAUAUAUAUAAAUACAUUAAUAAGCUUAAAUCCAACAUAUUUGUUUGUUAUUAUAAAUUUGAGCCGUAUGCAGUGAAAGUUGCACGUACGGUUCUUAAGGGGGGAAAAAUCGAGAGGUUCUACCUAUCCGAACAAAUUCCUAGACGUAUAAUUGACGUCCCGCAUGAAUGAAUGAACGAUGCGCAAACUGUAUCCAAAGUAGACCCAGUGAAAUAACAAUUACGGUGAAGUUUAGUGUUUAUAAUACGCCGGGUUGGUGAAAAUCCAACUUUAUAGUUUUAUUUUUAAUCUCUCUCUUUUUAAGAGGGAACAGCCCUACUCAGUCAUAUAACGAUUGAGUAUGAUUUUGGUAUAUUUUAAGGAAACAAUAACAAUGAAUAAAUUUUAUAUUUGAUAUAUCUCUCCAACUAAUAACAAACUUUAAUUUUAUAUUUAAAUUAUCUCUACAUAUAGAAGAUAUACAAGUAUAAGAACAUAUUAGAUAUAUGUUGAAUAUGGGGAGAAUAACUAAAGAUAUAAAUAGAAGUGAAUGUUCUCUAACUAUUACAAAACUUGAAUAUAUUAAACUCAACUAAAUAUUUAGAUUAUUUAGAUUUUAAAGAUGCUUAUAAUUUAUAUGUAAAUAGAGUAGAAUAUAAUGAAGCAUGAGUUUAAAAAAUAAAAUGAAUAAUAAUAGAACUGAUUUUAAUUUAUACACCUAUGAGAAUAUAAAUUGAGCAGAACAUAUAAAUAUUGAUUAUUAGGUUAAUUUAACUUUUGAAGAGAUGAAUUAAAACCUACUUUUGCAUUAGUAUUAACAGAGGUUCAAUUUCCGUUAUUUAGAUGAAUAUUUAAAAUGAAUAUUUAAAAUGAAUAAUACAUCUACUAUAAACUUAAAUUAUAAUAAAGCAAGAAAUAAUUCAAAACCUAGUUAUAGAUUUUUGAAAGAUCUAUUUAUAUCUAAAAAAUAUAAUAUAAUUAUUUUAAAAUUUUAAGUUAAUUAGUUAGUGCAGUUUAUUAUGGUUUACACCCUUCUUUUAGUAAAAUUAUGUUAAAAUUAAGUUAUAAUAUGAAUAAUAAUACUCAAUAAAGAAUUAUUUACAAAUGAAUCAAAUGUAAAUGUUGUAGAUAAAUUGAAAGAGUUAGAGUUUUUUAUAAAAAUAUAUAUAUCUCUCCUGAUUAUAUUAGGAGGGGUAAGGAAUUAGUGAAUAAAAGGGUGGAUUUCCCCAGAUUAAAUUUAGAUUAAAGUGGAAAAUUAAUGACUAUGAAAUAUGAUUAGUCAUGCUUAUAAUAAGUACUUAAGAAUACAAUCGAAUAAUUUUCCCCCUAUAUAAAGGGUUAAAAUCUAGAAUAAAAUUAGAUUUUAAACGCUAUAAAUAAAAAGGUGAAAACGGUCAAUGACAUCUUAGUUAAAGACCGUCGGCAGUUGUAUAUGUCGCUACAGACUGGUUCACCGAGGUUGGGCUGAAAUGCCCGUCUAAAUGUACAGUCGAAUUUUGUAAUGUAUAUAUUUUAAUAUAUAUAUAAAGGUGAAAGAUAUUUUAAUAUAAAAUAAGAAAGUAUUGCUCUCUUAUAAGUAUUAAAAGCUUAUUAAACACAUAAGUAAGAAUCCUUUAUAGGUCAAACCUAUUUAAGUUAAUCAAAAUUGGAAGAUGCCGAAUAGCUGUAGAUUGACAAAAAGACCCUAUGCAGCUUUACUAUAAUUUUAUUUUGACUAUAUUAAAUAAAAAAUUUAAUAAAAUUAUAUAACAUUUCAGAUUAGAUUAGGUAAAAUUCAGUUUUUCCUUAUACUUAUAAUAAGGAAUGAUUUUUAAUAUAAAAAAUGAUAUGAAUAAAAUGAGAUACCUAUAUGUUAUAUAAUAUUGUCUUAUUUAUUUAUAAAAAAAAACAAACAAACAAAAAUAAAGACAGAGUAAAAUGGUUAGUUUCGAUGGGGCGUCGACAUCAGACAACACAUCUGAUGUGUCUAAUAAUUAUAAUAAUAAAUUAAAAUUUUUAUAUAAUAGUAUAUAACGUACAAUAGAACUAUAUGGUAAAUAGUUAUGAAAUAAUGCAAGGAUAACAACAUAAUUGUGCAAUGAUAAUGACACUAACAAGUGAAAUUAGUACUUACGUAGAGUGUAGAGAACAGGCAUAAUCAAAUGGUAUGGAUGUCGAUAACGAAUUAAAGUUACGCUAGGGAUGGUAAUUGUCCCUGUAAAAUUAGUUUAAAACAAAACUAAUUCCCUUCUUAAGAAGGUUAAAAUUGGCUCGAUUAAAUGACGAUAGUCGAGAUUAAAUGGAGUUAAUUGCAUGAAACCUAAGGUAUAUUUAUAUACUAUGGUGAUUUGCAGCGAAGUUUAUUAUAUAUGAAACAUAAAAUACUAUUUUAUGUUAAGUAAUAAAAACGUUCAACGACUAGUCAAUGAGUACAUAUAACAAUAAUUUGACCACGAAAGCUCCAAGUUGUAUAUAAAUUUAUAAUAUCAAAAAUAUAUAAGUGUUAAUUAUAAAGAUAAUUUAAAAUGGGAUAAAGGCAUAAUUAUAUAACUACAUUUGAUCCUAUAUAUGAUCUAUAUGGAACUAUUUUUCCUAAUUUUAUAUUAGAACAUGUAAAUGAAAUAGUUUUAGCAUAUUGAAUUAUGGGUGAUGGAUCUUUACAUAAAAUUAACACUUUACAUACUGGUGGUUUUAGUUAUAAUGAAUGUGUUAUUAUAUCAACUGAAUUAAAUAAACUAUUAAAUUUAAAUUCAAGUGUAAAAAUAGCAAAAAAGAAUAUAAAUAGGACUUCCUAUAUGAUAAAAGCUAUUGAUACAUUAACUAUUAAAUAUUUAAUAGAAUCUCAUAUUAUAAGAUAUAUUUAAAUAUAAAAUAGAUAAAUCAUUUACAUAACAUGUAAGUAAAUUAGAUAGUAAAAAAUCUAUAAUAUCUGCAUUUUGUGUAGUUAAAAAUACAAUUAAGACAUAGUCUAAACUAUAUAGAAAUAUAUAGAAGUUAGUAUAAAGAGGCUAACGAUAAUAUAAUUGGUCGUCUAAACUCAUCCUCCUAGUUGCAGCAGCCAGGUAGGGUUGGACUGUUCGUCCAUUAAAGAGUUACUUGAGAUGGGUUAAUUACGACGUGAGUCAGUAAUGAUUUUAUCAUCUAUAGCUAAGACUCAAAAUUAUGACCUUAAGUGUACGCAAGGAUAGUAAGGUGAUUUCCAAUGGUAAAAUUAUAUAAAAGAAGAUAUAAAUAAAGCUAAGAAAUUAAUGUUUACAUAUUGAAAGCAUAUCAAAUAUAAAAUCACAUAAUAAUAGAGUUAUGACAUUGAAUAUAACAAUGAAAUAGUAAAAUCGGUAUAACCGAGAAAAAACUAAUUUUAAAAUACAUAUACCU
rnacentral:rRNA from 1 species